CAUAGGUUAAUGAGGCGAACCGGGGGAACUGAAACAUCUAAGUACCCCGAGGAAAAGAAAUCAACCGAGAUUCCCCCAGUAGCGGCGAGCGAACGGGGAGGAGCCCAGAGCCUGAAUCAGUGUGUGUGUUAGUGGAAGCGUCUGGAAAGGCGCGCGAUACAGGGUGACAGCCCCGUACACAAAAAUGCACAUGCUGUGAGCUCGAUGAGUAGGGCGGGACACGUGGUAUCCUGUCUGAAUAUGGGGGGACCAUCCUCCAAGGCUAAAUACUCCUGACUGACCGAUAGUGAACCAGUACCGUGAGGGAAAGGCGAAAAGAACCCCGGCGAGGGGAGUGAAAAAGAACCUGAAACCGUGUACGUACAAGCAGUGGGAGCACGCUUAGGCGUGUGACUGCGUACCUUUUGUAUAAUGGGUCAGCGACUUAUAUUCUGUAGCAAGGUUAACCGAAUAGGGGAGCCGAAGGGAAACCGAGUCUUAACUGGGCGUUAAGUUGCAGGGUAUAGACCCGAAACCCGGUGAUCUAGCCAUGGGCAGGUUGAAGGUUGGGUAACACUAACUGGAGGACCGAACCGACUAAUGUUGAAAAAUUAGCGGAUGACUUGUGGCUGGGGGUGAAAGGCCAAUCAAACCGGGAGAUAGCUGGUUCUCCCCGAAAGCU
rnacentral:rRNA from 1 species